UCCUCGGCGUCGUCCGACAAUGCUAUGGAACGCGUCUUCUCCAAGUCGAGUCCCCACCGCCAGCGCCCAGGGUGACGCGGAUGCAGGGCAGGACAGGCAGGAUCUCAUCAUGCCGGUGAACGCAAACACCAUUCUUACAUCAUAAAGGGCAGUUAGGUGCUCUGGUGUCUUGAUAAGCUAUGGGGAUCCCAAAGAUGAAAACUUGAUCCUAGGGAUCUCAAAAGAAGGUCUAAUAUCUUGUGUGAACAAAUAAGUCAGAUGAUUUCUUUGUUUGUGUAAUUCCAUUUUCUCAUGGCGUCUCCCAUUCAAAAGGUAACUAGCAUUGAAUCUUUACAUUGUUU